rnacentral:rRNA from 1 species
AGAUUGAACGCUGGCGGCAUGCCUUACACAUGCAAGUCGAACGGUAACGCGGGGGCAACCCUGGCGACGAGUGGCGAACGGGUGAGUAAUACAUCGGAACGUACCCAGUAGUGGGGGGAUAGCUCGGCGAAAAGCCGGAUUAAUACCGCAUACGACCUACGGGUGAAAGCGGGGGAUCGAAAGACCUCGCGCUAUUGGAGCGGCCGAUGUCGGAUUAGCUAGUUGGUGAGGUAAAGGCUCACCAAGGCUACGAUCCGUAGCUGGUCUGAGAGGACGACCAGCCACACUGGGACUGAGACACGGCCCAGACUCCUACGGGAGGCAGCAGUGGGGAAUUUUGGACAAUGGGCGAAAGCCUGAUCCAGCCAUGCCGCGUGUGUGAAGAAGGCCUUCGGUUGUAAAGCACUUUUGUUCGGUAACGAACGACCAAGGUCGAAUAAACCUUGGUAAUGACGGUACCGGAAGAAUAAGCACCGGCUAACUACGUGCCAGCAGCCGCGGU